rnacentral:rRNA from 1 species
AGUCAUAUGCUUGUCUCAAAGAUUAAGCCAUGCAUGUCUCAGUACAAGCCAAAUUAAGGUGAAACCGCGAAAGGCUCAUUAAAUCAGUUAUGGUUCCUUAGAUCGUACCCACAUUUACUUGGAUAACUGUGGUAAUUCUAGAGCUAAUACAUGCCAACAGAACUCCGACCGGAGACGGAAGGAGUGCCUUUAUUAGAUCAAAACCAAUCGGUGGCGCGGCUUCGGCCGUGUCAUCGUACAACAUGGUGAAUCUGAAUAACGUUUGCUGAUCGCACGGUCUCGCACCGGCGACGCAUCUUUCAAAUGUCUGCCUUAUCAACUGUCGAUGGUAGGUUCUGCGCCUACCAUGGUUGUAACGGGUAACGGGGAAUCAGGGUUCGAUUCCGGAGAGGGAGCCUGAGAAACGGCUACCACAUCCAAGGAAGGCAGCAGGCGCGCAAAUUACCCACUCCCGGCACGGGGAGGUAGUGACGAAAAAUAACGAUACGGGACUCAUCCGAGGCCCCGUAAUCGGAAUGAGCACACUUUAAAUCCUUUCACGAGGAUCAAUCGGAGGGCAAGUCAGGUGCCAGCAGCCGCGGUAAUUCCUGCUCCGAUAGCGUA